AGAGAGAUGGAUCAAUUCAGCUUCUGUGGAAAAGGUGUGCUAGGAUUAUUAGGAAAGGUACCAAAAAGCAAAUGGCCUGUAUUAUUAUUCCAUUAAAUCUAUGAUGUGGACAGACACACUUAGAAUAUUGUACACAGUUCUGGUUCUGUCUCCAAGGAGGAGUAAUGGAGUUGGAAAAUGCAGAAAAGUGUGAAAAGCUGCCACACUGUCUAGAUGCAAAGACUAAAACGUUUAGCACAUUUUAGUUGAAGAGCAAAGAAAUGGCAAAGGAAGGUAACAUGAAAGAGGUACUGAACAUUAUGGGUGCUCUGGAGAAUGAGGUUAAGAAUACAUGUUCUUCCUUGGCUCAGAGAUUGGCAAGAAUUCAGGGCUGAGAAAAGAGAGUUCUUUGGUCUGUUUUGCUUCCCAGCCCAAAGCACUGCAUAUAACCUGUGAAGUCCUUUAUGGGUGGGACUAAAAUUCCCGAGGGCCCACCUUCUUUCAGAGGAAUGCACCUGCUCACCGCGGCCACUCACCGAGGCUCUUCUGUGUGUGCCCCACCCACACCUCUGGGACAGGGCCUUUUCUGUGCUCACUCCCGGCCUCUGGAGCUUCUGCCUUGCACUGCCUGCCGGCCUUCCUCUCCAGCGGUUUUCUGCCACUCCUGGAAACCCUUUUCUGCAAUCAGUCAUGCAGCCCUGGAGGUGUACUGGUGAUCCACUUCACGUUAUUGCUACAUCAUGGACAGAGUUAAAGAAAGUCUUCAAAGCAACGUGACCACCACGAUUGCAUUCCUGUGCACAUUCAUCUGGACGUAAGCUCAAAUGAAUUCAGCUGGACUCAUUUCUUAAGAGCCAUGCAAAUGGACAUAUAUCUGCCAAUAAGACCCACUGGACAAUGUGGGACUGGCAUACAUGGAACUGCACUAUGCAUUAUUAAUCACAACACUUCUGUAGACAUAUGGAAUUGUAUAUGUUCAUUCAUCCAAAUUCUGUUUUUACAUGACAAAAACAGCUUGUUUUGUAGGGUGCUGAAACUGCACAAAGGAAGAAGACAAGCACUCACCUCCCAAGGAACAAACCAAUAGUCAGGCACAGUCAUUUUGCUUUUUAAAUAUCCUCAAGGUGAGAACCAUGUUGUAUUCAUCAGGACUAUAACUUUUCCUUCUUUUUUAGAUAGUUACAAAAGCAAACCUCUAAGAAGAAUGAUUAUAGUUCCUUUCUACAAAUAGUGACUGGUGUAGAAUUACCAAGUUCAGAGGUAGUUUUGUGAUUGAAGGGAGUGGGCAAUCAUAGAAUAAUUUCAAUUAAUGUAUGUAAGAUGAAACAACCAAAGCAGUAGACUAAACAAAAUACAUACAGGAUUGCUUGCCUCUUUGCAGGGAGCCAUGGAUUCUGCACUGGACAGAAAAUGGAGGCUUCCACAAAAUGUUGUUUCCAAGAUCCUUGGACCUAGUAUGAUGCUAGGUUAUCUUGUUUUUUUUACACACACACACACACACACACACACACACCCCCACACACACCCGGGGGGGGGGGGGGGAGAAAGCCAGCUUAAACAGGGUUCUUGGAAAAAUGAGGGGAAAUGCUCAAGUGAUGAAGCUAUAUAAUCAAAAACCUGAGCUUUGGUCACUGAAUGCAUUUUAUUUUUACACAGUUACUAAGACUGUAAUGCAACUACACUUUAGAAAACGUUAGGAAUUCAGAGUAGGAUAGUGGAGAAAAAAAAUCAGGGAGGGAGGAAGUACAGCUUUCCUGUUUGGUAUGUUUUAUUUUUGUAUGCCUUUUAGGCAGCUCAUGCAAAAUCAACACAAAUACAGAGUUCAAACAAUAAAAUGAAACUUACAAAAGAUCAAGAAACUGUAGCUCAGUAACAUGUUGGGUUUAUCCUAUCUUUUCAUGGUUCAGACAGAGAAUCUUCAGGAAAAUGUUUUGAACUUGUAAGGUUUGGGACAUUGCUAGGAAGUUGGGCUUAACAAAUGUAACUCAUCAAAGAAUUCAAUGGACUUCUCUACACAAGGCAAAAAGAGCUCUUACUUUAUGACACUCAUGUGAUUUUUAAAACAAAUCACAUGACAUGCAAGCAGUAGAAUACUGCAAAGAGGGAUGUACUGAGGACAGUUUUUCUCCUCCCUCCAUAAAACUAGAUCUCAGGGCGAUUCCAUGAUACUGCUUGGUGGGAGAUUCAGCACUAGCAAAGGACUUCUUCACACAGUGCAUGGAUUCAAUUCCACAAGAUGGAGUAAUGGCCACCAAUCUGGAUGGCUUUCAAGGUGCACUGGACAAAUCUGUGGAAGGGAA